rnacentral:sRNA from 1 species
GCUAGGUGUGGUGGUGCACACCUGUAGUCCCAGCCACUCAAGAGGCUGAGGAGGAGCCCAUUUGAGCCCAUGGGUUCAAGGCCAACCUGGGCAAUCUAGCAGGACCCUGUAUCAGGGCUAGGGCUGGGGCUCAGUGGUAGCACAUUUGCCUGGCAUGUGUGAGGCACUAGGUUCAAUUCUCAG